rnacentral:misc_RNA from 1 species
GAUGAAGAACGUAGCGAAAUGCGAUAAGUAGUGUGAAUUGCAGAAUUCAGUGAAUCAUCGAAUCUUUGAACGCACAUUGCGCCCCUUGGUAUUCCAUGGGGCAUGCCUGUUCGAGCGUCAUUUGUACCUUCAAGCUCUGCUUGGUGUUGGGUGUUUGUCUCGCCUCUGCGCGUAGACUCGCCUCAAAACAAUUGGCAGCCGGCGUAUUGAUUUCGGAGCGCAGUACAUCUCGCGCUUUGCACUCAUAACGACGACGUCCAAAAGUACAUUUUUACACUCUUGACCUCGGAUCAGGUAGGGAUACCCGCUGAACUUAAGCAUAUCAAUAAGCGGAGG